rnacentral:misc_RNA from 1 species
UCUCCGUUGGUGAACCAGCGGAGGGAUCAUUACAGGACUCGCAAGACUCCUACACCCUGUGAACCUCACUACAAGCACGUUGCUUCGGCGGGUGUCCCGGCGGGGGUUUUCCCUCGCCGGGGCGCACAGCCCGCCGGCAGACUACUAUACUCUGUCUCUUUGCGUUGGCAUCUCGAGAAAAAACAAACAAGUUAAAACUUUCAACAACGGAUCUCUUGGUUCUG